GUUAGAACGCUCGUAGUCGGAUUUCGGGGCGGGCCGACCGGUCUGCCGAUGGGUACGCACUGGUCGGCGCGUCCUUCCUUCCGGAGACCGUGCCUACUCUUAACUGAGCGGGGGCGGGAGACGGAACGUUUACUUUGAAAAAAUCAGAGUGUUUCAAGCAGGCAGCUCGCUCUUGCAUGGAUUAGCAUGGGAUAAUGAAAUAGGACUUUGGUGCUAUUUUGUUGGUUUCGAACACCGAAGUAAUGAUGAGAAGGGACAGUCAGGGGCACUCGUAUUCCGCCGAGAGAGGUGAAAUUCUCAGACCAGCGGAAGACGAACCACUGCGAAAGCAUUUGCCAGGGAUGUUUUCACUGAUCAAGAACGAAAGUUAGGGGAUCGAAGACGAUCAGAUACCGUCGUAGUCUUAACCAUAAACCAUACCGACUAGGGAUUGGAGGAUGUUCACUGAUUGACUCCUUCAGCACCUUACGGGAAACUAAAGUCUUUGGGUUCCGGGGGGAGUAUGGUCGCAAGGCUGAAACUUAAAGGAAUUGACGGAAGGGCACCACCAGGUGUGGAGCCUGCGGCUUAAUUUGACUCAACACGGGGAAACUUACCAGGUCCAGACAUUGUGAGGAUUGACAGAUUGAGAGCUCUUUCUUGAUUUGAUGGGUGGUGGUGCAUGGCCGUUCUUAGUUGGUGGAGUGAUUUGUCUGGUUAAUUCCGUUA
rnacentral:rRNA from 1 species